rnacentral:lncRNA from 1 species
UGUUUGUUGUUAUAAUUUUCAGUCAACCUUCAUUGAUGAACUGCCGAAGUAGAGAGACUGCAUUUCGUCUUGGGGUGCACACAAAUGGGGUAAAUGUAUAAUGUUUAUGCCAAGAAAGCGCGAUAUCGAUCGGUUGGCAUAACGCGAUAUAUGUCAAGACCAGCGGUAGAAAAUGCUAUUGGGCUUUAGAGACGGUCGUUUCAAUGUUUUAGUAGCCACUGAUAUUUCUACUCACGGACUUGAUGUUCCUAAUGUUGAUAUGGCUAGGCUGGAAAGAAAGGAAGACCAUUUUAAUUCAUUCGUCUUAGCAAUCGUCUGAGGUGAAGGGAUCCAAGCACAAAGUAGGAUGCAAAUUUUUGAAGGUACAAUAGAUGAUGAUAUUUGAUGAUGAUAUUGAUGCAUGCUCACAUAGGAUUGGACGAGGCCUUAGUGACAUUAAAAGAUGCAAGACUAGUUAAUUUUUGUUAUGUUUCUUUAUUGUUAAG